AUGGUCAAAUUUAGGACAAAAUGGUCCAAGUAUCAGAGGACCCCCCCAGCAGGACACGUCCCCCAGCAGCCCCCCUCCACCUGCCUCCUCCUCCUCCUCCUCCUCCUGGCAGCCCUCCCAGGGCUGCGGGCGGCCGUGCAGCUGGUCGAGUCCGGAGGGGGCCUCCAGCCACCCGGGGGGUCCCUCACCCUCCUCUGCAAGGCCUCCGGCUUCGACUUCAGCAGCAAGGGCAUGAACUGGGUGCGACAGGCGCCCGGGAAGGGGCUCGAACCAGUCGCGAGUAUUAGCAGCAGUGGUAGCAGCACAGGCUACGUGUCCGCGGUCAAAGGGCGCUUCACCAUCUCCAGGGACAACUCCCAGAGCACGCUCAAGCUGCAGAUGAACAGCCUCAGGGCCGACGACACGGCCACCUACUACUGCGCAAAAAGUACUGGUGCUUUUGGUUAUGCUGGUUGGAGUAGUGGUGGUGGCCCCGACCGCGGCACCGUGUCCCCACAUCCCUGCGCUGGGUCCCCAAAUCUUCCCCGAACCCCUGAACCAGCCUGGACCCUGCACCCAGCCCACGUCCUUGCCCCAAACAUCCAAUAUUUGCCACAACACUCAACUGUUUGCAUCAAGUGCUGA